rnacentral:tRNA from 2 species
AGUUAAUUAGCUUAAGAUAAAGCAAAUGUUUUGAAAACAUAAGAACAGAAGUUCAAUUCUUCUAUUAACUU